rnacentral:rRNA from 1 species
AACGAACGCUGGCGGCAUGCCUAACACAUGCAAGUCGAACGAGACCUUCGGGUCUAGUGGCGCACGGGUGCGUAACGCGUGGGAACCUGCCCUUAGGUUCGGAAUAACUCCCCGAAAGGGGUGCUAAUACCGGAUAAUGUCUUCGGACCAAAGAUUUAUCGCCUUUGGAUGGGCCCGCGUUGGCUUAGCGAGUUGGUAGGGUAAAAGCCUACCAAGGCGACGAUCCAUAGCUGGUCUGAGAGGAUGAUCAGCCACACUGGGACUGAGACACGGCCCAGACUGCUACGGGAGGCAGCAGUGGGGAAUAUUGGACAAUGGGCGAAAGCCUGAUCCAGCAAUGCCGCGUGAGUGAUGAAGGCCUUAGGGUUGUAAAGCUCUUUUACCCGGGAUGAUAAUGACAGUACCGGGAGAAUAAGCUCCGGCUAACUACGUG